rnacentral:rRNA from 1 species
GACGAACGCUGGCGGCGUGCUUAACACAUGCAAGUCGAACGGUAAGGCCCUUCGGGUACGACGAGUGGCGAACGGGUGGAGUAACACGUGGGUGAUCUGCCCUGCACUUCGGGAUAAGCCUGGGAAACUGGGUCUAAUACCGGAUAGGACCAUGGACUUCACGGUUUGUGGUGGAAAGCUUUUGCGGUGUGGGAUGGGCCCGCGGCCUAUCAGCUUGUUGGUGGGGUAAUGGCCUACCAAGGCGACGACGGGUAGCCGGCCUGAGAGGGUGUCCGGCCACACUGGGACUGAGAUACGGCCCAGACUCCUACGGGAGGCAGCAGUGGGGAAUAUUGCACAAUGGGCGCAAGCCUGAUGCAGCGACGCCGCGUGAGGGAUGACGGCCUCGGUUGGUAAACC